GAACGAACGCUGGCGGCAUGCCUAACCCAUGCAAGUCGAACGAGACCUUCGGGUCUAGUGGCGCACGGGUGCGUAACGCGUGGGAACCUGCCCUUAGGUUCGGAAUAACUCCCCGAAAGGGGUGCUAAUACCGGAUAAUGUCUUCGGACCAAAGAUUUAUCGCCUUUGGAUGGGCCCGCGUUGGAUUAGCUAGUUGGUAGGGUAAAAGCCUACCAAGGCGACGAUCCAUAGCUGGUCUGAGAGGAUGAUCAGCCACACUGGGACUGAGACACGGCCCAGACUCCUACGGGAGGCAGCAGUAGGGAAUAUUGGACAAUGGGCGAAAGCCUGAUCCAGCAAUGCCGCGUGAGUGAUGAAGGCCUUAGGGUUGUAAAGCUCUUUUACCCGGGAUGAUAAUGACAGUACCGGGAGAAUAAGCUCCGGCUAACUCCGUG
rnacentral:rRNA from 1 species